ACGAUGUUCCGCUGCAAAGGCUAAUGUGUAAGAGCAUCCG
rnacentral:sRNA from 1 species